UAGCAAUACGUGGCGCACGGCUCAGUAACACGUAGUCAACAUGCCCAGAGGACGUGGAUAACCUCGGGAAACUGAGUCUAAACCGCGAUAAGUGAGGAUUUCUGGAAUGGUUCCUGACUAAAAUCUAUAUGGCCUCUGGAUUGGACUGCGGCCGAUCAGGCUGUUGGUGAGGUAAUGGCCCACCAAACCUGUAACCGGUACGGGCUCUGAGAGGAGGAGCCCGGAGAUGGGCACUGAGACAAGGGCCCAGGCCCUAUGGGGCGCAGCAGGCGCGAAACCUCUGCAAUAGGCGAAAGCCUGACAGGGUUACUCUGAGUGACUUUCGCUAAGAAAGUCUUUUGGCACCUCUAAAAAGGGUGCAGAAUAAGGGGUGGGCAAGUCUGGUGUCAGCCGCCGCGGUAAUACCAGCACCCCGAGUGGUCGGGACGAUUAUUGGGCCUAAAGCAUCCGUAGCCGGUUCUGCAAGUCCCCCGUUAAAUCCAGCUGCUCAACAGAUGGGCCGCGGAGGAUACUACAGAGCUAGGAGGCAGGAGAGGCAAGCGGUACUCAGUGGGUAGGGGUAAAAUCCGUUGAUCCAUUGAAGACCACCAGUGGCGAAGGCGGCUUGCCAGAAUGCGCUCGACGGUGAGGGAUGAAAGCUGGGGGA
rnacentral:rRNA from 1 species